rnacentral:rRNA from 1 species
GACGGAGGAUGCAAGCGUUAUCCGGAAUGAUUGGGCGUAAAGCGUCCGCAGGUGGCAGUUCAAGUCUGCUGUCAAAGACCGGGGCUUAACUUCGGAAAGGCAGUGGAAACUGAACAGCUAGAGUAUGGUAGGGGCAGAGGGAAUUCCUGGUGUAGCGGUGAAAUGCGUAGAGAUCGGGAAGAACAUCGGUGGCGAAAGCGCUCUACUGGACCGCAACUGACACUCAGGGACGAAAGCUAGGGGAGCGAAUGGG